GCUGAAUUAUUGCACUGGGCUGAAUUUGCAAGGAAUAACUCUGGGCAUAGUCCGUUUUUUUUUUUUCAAGAUGGGUCAUCAUCCUGCUGUUCUACCUGCUGUGUUUUCUGACUGUGACUGCUCGCUGUAAGUUUCAUGCGGAUAAACGGCGGAGUGCCAAUCCAGUUUACCAUGUGGGUGAUCGGGUUUGGUUAUCCUCACAUAAUAUCAGGUUGAAGGUUCCCAGCAUGAAGUCUGCUCCGAGGUUCCUUGGUCCUUUUCGUGUGGUUAGGAGAAUCAACCCUGU